rnacentral:rRNA from 1 species
ACGGAAGGCAGCAGUGAGGAAUAUUGGGCAAUGGGCGAAAGCCUGACCCAGCGACGCCGCGUGGAGGAAGAAGAUCUUCGGAUUGUAAACUCCUGUCAACAGGGAAGAAGAAAGUGACGGUACCUGUAGAGGAAGCCACGGCUAACUACGUGCCAGCAGCCGCGGUAAUACGUAGGUGGCGAGCGUUAUCCGGAUUUACUGGGUGUAAAGGGUGUGUAGGCGGCUUGGCAAGUCAGAUGUGAAACCUCAAGGCUUAACCUUGAGCUUGCAUUUGAUACUACUGAGCUUGAGAGUCGGAGGGGUAAUCGGAAUUCCCGGUGUAGAGGUGAAAUUCGUAGAUAUCGGGAGGAACACCAGUGGCGAAGGCGGAUUACUGGACGACCACUGACGCUGAGACACGAAAGCGUGGGGAGCAAACAGGAUUAGAUACCCUGGUA